GACGAACGCUGGCGGCGUGCCUAAUACAUGCAAGUAGAACGCUGAAGGAGGAGCUUGCUUCUCUGGAUGAGUUGCGAACGGGUGAGUAACGCGUAGGUAACCUGCCUGGUAGCGGGGGAUAACUAUUGGAAACGAUAGCUAAUACCGCAUAAGAGUAGAUGUUGCAUGACAUUUGCUUAAAAGGUGCAAUUGCAUCACUACCAGAUGGACCUGCGUUGUAUUAGCUAGUUGGUGAGGUAACGGCUCACCAAGGCAACGAUACAUAGCCGACCUGAGAGGGUGGUCGGCCAGACUGGGACGGAGACACGGCACAGACUGCUACAGGAGGGAGCAGGAGGGAAACUUCGGCAAUGGACGGAAGUCUGACCGAGCAACGCCGCGGGAGGGAAGAAGGUUUUCGGAUCGGAAAGCUCUGUUGUAAGGGAAGAAAGAGUGUGAGAGUGGAAAGUUCACACUGUGACGGUAUCUGACCAGAAAGGGACGGCUAACUACGUG
rnacentral:rRNA from 1 species